AGUAUUUGAAACCACAUCGACUUCAUCAUCAUUUUCCGGAGUCACAUGUACUCCUCUAUUCAAAAAAUCAUUUUCUAGCUGUCUUUCUUCCUCUGAUGUGUUUGGAAGCUGGGUGGAGGCACUACCUAAUCCUCCAAUAGCUAUAGUCCCGCUGAAUAUCUCCCCAAGAGUGUGGUAGUGCUUACAUCCUUCCCUCUUGAACAACUUGUAAUCCGAC
rnacentral:lncRNA from 1 species